GCUUUUAUUCCAGUUCCAGCGGACGUAUAAUUUCUAACUGUUGUACGUUUUCUAUUAAUUCAUAUAGGAAUGUCUUGAUACAAUUUCUGUAGACAAAGAAGGUCAGCCAAGUAUAGGCCUCUUGAAAUUUGUAUUUGGAAGCUCAGCAAAUGGCAGCAAAGGAAGUGAUUCUUUGAAGCCAACGGCAACAGUACAUGAGCAUGUUGGGGACUCUUCAAGGGACUUGGAAUUCCAUGAGCCAAAAACCAACUCCUCCAAUGAAGAAAUCAGUUUAUUAGAUGACCGCCACAAUAUUUCUGAAAGUAGCAAAUGUGUAAGAUUAGGCGGCUACUGUCCAAAGAGAAUAAAAAUGAAUGGUAGUCGUUGGACACGGACUGCUUUAGAGGAUGACGUGUUUCAGGGGAGAAAAACAUUGAGGUUGGUCUCAAAAACUUGUGGCUUGAUGUCAAAUAAACAUUUCUAUUUGUUCACGGGGAGAUUAUUGAUGAAUCCACGUGAAAGAUCGUGGUUUUAUUUUGUCAAGCCCUCAUUGCGUUUGAGAUAUCUAGAAAAACAGUUUAAAAAGUUUAGUGCAGACAGAGUGAUACCAGAGCCGACCCAACCGACCGGCGCCGACCCUACCGUACCGCCUCUGGCCCCGACCGAGGCCAGCGAUCUGAAGGAGAAUCCUCGCCUGAGUCCAUGGACUCUGACCAACAACUGACCGUGAGUCACUGAGUCGCCUCUUGCAGCCAGCUCGGCAUGACCAGGCCAGCUACCUCCUACCGCCGAUUUGAACCAAGAACUCAAAUGAGUGAUUGAAAGUAAGGGUGUGCAUGCAUGGGUAGGGUUGGAAAUUUACUUCAGAAUAUGCAGGAUUGAACAAAAGUUCAGAAGUAUGUUGGAAUACUCAAAAUUAGAUUCGUAUUGCAAAGACUCCAAGUCCCAAUGGUGUGAAUUUUAAAGCGCACCACCCUGUUAAAAUCCAUCCACUUGAGUAUGUAAGUAUUUCAGACCCACUUGCAAGAGAGUCUAUGUAUGAAUUGAAUAAAGUUUGAGCAAACAUUCGAUUUA